rnacentral:rRNA from 1 species
AACGAACGCUGGCGGCAUGCCUAACACAUGCAAGUCGAACGGGACCUUCGGGCUUAGUGGCGCACGGGUGCGUAACGCGGGGGGACCUGCCCUUGGGUUCGCCUGAACUUCCCGAAUGGGGUCCUAAUACCGGAUAAUGUCUUCCGUCCAAAGAUGUAUGGCGAUUGGGUGGGCCUGGGUGGGAUUAGCUGGUUGGUAGGGUAAAAGCCUACCACGGGGUGGUUGGAUAGCUGGUUUGAGAGGAUGAUCAGCGACACUGGGGGUGAGACACAGACCAGAAUCCUACGCAAGGGAGGAGAGGGUAAUAUAGGACGAGGGGGGAUGGCCUGAUCCAGCAAUGACGGGUGAGUGAUGAAGGGGGUAGGGAAGUGAAGUUCUUUUAGACGGGGCGAUAGUGACGGUACCGGGAGAAUAAGCACCGGCUAACUCCGUG